rnacentral:rRNA from 1 species
UACGAAGGGGGCUAGCGUUGUUCGGAAUUACUGGGCGUAAAGCGCACGUAGGCGGAUAUUUAAGUCAGGGGUGAAAUCCCGGGGCUCAACCCCGGAACUGCCUUUGAUACUGGGUAUCUCGAGUCUGAGAGAGGUGAGUGGAAUUCCGAGUGUAGAGGUGAAAUUCGUAGAUAUUCGGAGGAACACCAGUGGCGAAGGCGGCUCACUGGCUCGGUACUGACGCUGAGGUGCGAAAGCGUGGGGAGCAAACAGG